UACAGAGGUCCCAAGCGUUGUUCGGAUUCACUGGGCGUAAAGGGUGCGUAGGCGGCGCGGUAAGUCGGGGGUGAAAUCUCGGGGCUUAACUCCGAAACUGCAUUCGAUACUGCCGUGCUUGAGGACUGGAGAGGAGACUGGAAUUUACGGUGUAGCGGUGAAAUGCGUAGAUAUCGUAAGGAAGACCAGUGGCGAAGGCGGGUCUCUGGACAGUUCCUGACGCUGAGGCACGAAGGCCAGGGGAGCAAACGGG
rnacentral:rRNA from 1 species